UACAGAGGUCUCAAGCGUUUGUUCGGAUUUAUUGGGCGUAAAGGGCGCGUAGGCGGCGGGGUAAGUCGGGUGUGAAAUCUCAGGGCUCAACCCUGAAACUGCACUUGAUACUGCUCUGCUUGAGGACUGGAGAGGAGACUGGAAUUCACGGUGUAGCAGUGAAAUGCGUAGAGAUCGUGAGGAAGACCAGUGGCGAAGGCGGGUCUCUGGACAGCUCCUGACGCUGAGGCGGCGAAGGCUAGGGGAGCAAACA
rnacentral:rRNA from 1 species